rnacentral:rRNA from 1 species
CGGAGGAUCCAGCGUUAUCCGGAAUCAUUGGGUUUAAAGGGUCCGUAGGCGGUUUUAUAAGUCAGUGGUGAAAUCUGGUCGCUCAACGAUCAAACGGCCAUUGAUACUGUAAGACUUGAAUUACUUGGAAGUAACUAGAAUAUGUAGUGUAGCGGUGAAAUGCUUAGAGAUUACAUGGAAUACCAAUUGCGAAGGCAGGUUACUACAAGUAUAUUGACGCUGAUGGACGAAAGCGUGGGGAGCGAACAGGAUUAGAUACCCUGGUAGUCCACGCCGUAAACGAUGGAUACUAGCUGUUUGGAGCAAUCUGAGUGGCUAAGCGAAAGUGAUAAGUAUCCCACCUGGGGAGUACGCUCGCAAGAGUG